GAGUUUGAUCAUGGCUCAGAACGUACGCUGGCGGCACGCCUAACACAUGCAAGUCGAACGAAGUAGCAAUACUUAGUGGCAGACGGGUGAGUAACAUGUAGGUAUCUGCCCUUUGGCCUGGAAUAACACGAGGAAACUUGUGCUAAUACCGGAUAAGUCUUUACGGAGAAAGCUUUAUGCACCAUUGGAUGAGCCUGCACUUGAUUAGUUUGUUGGUGGGGUAAUGGCCUACCAAGACUGUGAUCAAUAGCUGAUUUGAGAGGAUGAUCAGCCGCAUUGGGACUGAGACACGGCCCAAACUCCUACGGGAGGCAGCAGUGGGGAAUCUUGCACAAUGGAGGAAACUCUGAUGCAGCGAUGCCGCGUGAGUGAAGAAGGCCCUUGGGCUGUAAAGCUCUUUCGUCGGGGAAGAAAAUGACUGUACCCGAAUAAGAAGGUCCGGCUAACUUCGUGCCAGCAGCCGCGGUAAUACGAAGGGACCUAGCGUAGUUCGGAAUUACUGGGCUUAAAGAGUUCGUAGGUGGUUGAAAAAGUUAGUGGUGAAAUCCCAGAGCUUAACUCUGGAACUGCCAUUAAAACUUUUCAGCUAGAGUAUGAUAGAGGAAAGCAGAAUUUCUAGUGUAGAGGUGAAAUUCGUAGAUAUUAGAAAGAAUACCAAUUGCGAAGGCAGCUUUCUGGAUCAUUACUGACACUGAGGAACGAAAGCAUGGGUAGCGAAGAGGAUUAGAUACCCUCGUAGUCCAUGCCGUAAACGAUGUGUGCUAGACGUUGGAAAUUUAUUUUCAGUGUCGCAGGAAACCGAUAAACACACCGCCUGGGGAGUACGACCGCAAGGUUAAAACUCAAAUGAAUUGACGGGACCCGCACAAGUAGUGGAGCAUGUGGUUUAAUUCGAGAUACGCGCAGAACCUUACCACACUUGACAUGUUCGUCGCGACUCUAAGAGAUUAGAGUUUUCGGUUCGGGCCGGGAC
rnacentral:rRNA from 1 species